AGAGUUUGAUCCUGGCUCAGAUUGAACGCUGGCGGCAUGCCUUACACAUGCAAGUCGAACGGCAGCACGGGGGCAACCCUGGUGGCGAGUGGCGAACGGGUGAGUAAUACAUCGGAACGUGUCCUGUAGUGGGGGAUAGCCCGGCGAAAGCCGGAUUAAUACCGCAUACGAUCUACGGAAGAAAGCGGGGGAUCGCAAGACCUCGCGCUAUAGGGGCGGCCGAUGGCAGAUUAGCUAGUUGGUGGGGUAAAGGCCUACCAAGGCGACGAUCUGUAGCUGGUCUGAGAGGACGACCAGCCACACUGGGACUGAGACACGGCCCAGACUCCUACGGGAGGCAGCAGUGGGGAAUUUUGGACAAUGGGGGAAACCCUGAUCCAGCAAUGCCGCGUGUGUGAAGAAGGCCUUCGGGUUGUAAAGCACUUUUGUCCGGAAAGAAAA
rnacentral:rRNA from 1 species